GGCCCUGUCUAGCUCAACUGGUAGAGCAAGACAUUAACACUGCCCGCGUUAGGGUUUGAUUCCCAGUGGGGCCA